rnacentral:lncRNA from 1 species
GUGCAUUCGUUCAGAUAAUUGCUUCCUGCUGCUGUUGUCUCGCCCACACAGUUUGACAUGUACCUCUGAUAUUUUUUCAUUAUGCUCUGACCUUAUUGUCCACGUUAGCAGGAUUCUCUUGUGCGGUGAUGUAGAAUUGAACCCGGGGCCUCCUAAGUUAAACAAGGCUAACACUCGUUUACGCGGUUCGUCCUUUGCCAGCUUUUUUUACCAGCCUCAACCAGCAACCAGCCUCCACCAGCAAUUUUUAUCCAGCUGGACUCAACACAAAGUGCUGCGCCAUCUUCAAGGAUUCUUGCCUGCACUGACAUCACGAACAUUAAUACCCGUGCCACACGGGCACAGAAAAUGACAUUCGGUAGUGAAGGCAUUCAGUUCCCGAAUGACAUUUUUUUCGGCGGAGCUGCUACACGUGCAAACUGAAUGACAUUUGACUUGAUCAUGUCGAUCGCAGCAUCUUCUGUAGUGAGCAAUGGUUGAGUAGUUAUAAAAAAAUAAACAUGCGCUUACAAGCUUCAUAUACCUCCGAGAAUAAUUAAAUGUAGAGAUAAGCAUAUUACACUGCUGUAAGCUUGAGUUCGUUGCUUUGUUUCACGACGGUGCAGCUGACCGUAGCAACCUAAGCCAACACUAGUCCGAUCCACAGCGUAAAAAGAAACUGGCACCUGUCGCAUUCAAAAUACAGCGUUUGAAGCGCUUGUGUAAGUGAUUAGUGUAAAUAGAAGACGUGAAAACUUUAUUUUUAGCUGAAUAGGAUGUUGUUUUAUAUAAUUUAGGUAUAUCGCACUUCGUCAGUUGUGCCAUCGAGAGCAUGCAUUUCUCAGUUGAAUGAGUUCUGGCGAUGGCAUUAGGUGACGAAUGGCAUUUGGGCGAAUACCAUUUUCUGUGCCCGUGUGGCACGGGUAUUAUUCAUCUUGGCUGUGCUGGCUGCGCUCGUGACGGUCAAGCUUACCCAGCUCACAUGGGCAGUGACGGCGGUGGUGGAAGGACGCCCCCCUUACAUCUAUAUUCUACCCUUUGCAGUGGGCCAGUGAAGAUGCAAUGCCACUCCUGCAGCGACUCCCUUCCCGCAGAUGGACGCUUCAUUAAAUGCUCUGAAUGUGAGUACGGCUACCAUCUCGGCGAUUGUUCUGGCUGCAGUGAAGCAACAUAUAAAAGUAAAGGCGAGAGUG